CGCAAUGGGCGAAAGCCUGACGGAGCGACGCCGCGUGGUAGAUGAAGUCCUUCGGGACGUAAAUACCUCUUAUGAGGGAGGAAGUUUAUUGACGGUACCUCAUGAAUAAGGGGUUGCUAAACUCGUGCCAGCAGCAGCGGUAAUACGAGUGCCCCAAGCGUUAUCCGGAAUCAUUGGGCGUAAAGGGUGUGUAGGUGGUCAUAUUAGUCUUCUGUUAAAUUCUUCGGCUUAACCGGGGACCUGCGGAGGAAACGGUUUGACUUGAGGGUGCGAGAGGCAUGCGGAACUCUAGGUGUAGGGGUGAAAUCCGUUGAUAUCUAGGGGAACACCAAAAGCGAAGGCAGCAUGCUGGCGCAUUCCUGACUCUGAGACACGAAAGCGU
rnacentral:rRNA from 1 species